rnacentral:misc_RNA from 1 species
AUUAUCACUUAUUUAUAUUAUUUUAUAAUAUAAUAUUUAUAUUAAUUUUUAAAUAUUAAAAAAAUAUUCAUAAAAAUUAUUAUUCUUAACUUCUUAAAUGUUAAAUGAAUAUUUUAAUUAGAAUCAUAAAAUAAUAUCACUAUUUUUAUAUUGAAUAAUUAAUUCAAUGUGAGUUUAAUAGCAGCAUAUGCGAAAGCAGUGGAGGUAAAUGUGGGUUUAAC